CACAAUUAAUUAGCGUACAAGUCCAUACGUUUAAUAAUGAUUUAUAAAGAUUACCAUAAUUCAAUCAUAACUUUUCAAUGUUCUGAAAAUCGGUUUGAACCGGCCGGUCGGACCGGUCGAACUGUGAACCAAACUGAAAAACGAAUCGGUCAAUCAUCAAAACUACAAAGUUACAAAAUCGGAAUUGAACCGACAAACCGGUCAGUAACCGAUCGGUCGAACCGAACCGUGAUCCGACCGGUUUUUAAGUAAGCAACAAAACGCUGCCGUUUUUGAGUUUUUUUCUCUCCGAAGUCUGAAUCCCUAAAUCACAAAAAUUUCCAAGGCUGAGACUGAGAUCCCUAAUUGCCUUCACUGCUCUCUCUACUUCAGUGGCUCCCAUUGUUGAUGAUUCUUCUUCGAGCAAGCUUGCUUUACUGAAGUCACUGGCGUCACCGCGUCACACGGGUCGAGGGCUCGCCGUCGAGACACCGCCGUCGCGCCACCUAGAGCCGUCGAAAAUUGAGAAGUGAGAAUGCCUCACUCUCACACGGGUCGAGCCACCGUUGUCGAGCCACCGCAGCAACCGUGGAUAACUGAGAAGGUGCCUUCGCUGUCUCCUACCGCUUCACUCUCACUCUCCCUCUCCCUAUUGCAUUACUUGCAUGUUCUGCCUUAAAGGUGCCUUCACUGUCUCAGUGUCUCCCACUCUCCUUGUUUUAUUUUUCUUUGAACUGUAUAGUGUGAUUUGUUGAUUACUCAAAUUGAUUGGAGGUAUUUUAGUUUGAAUUGAAACUGAGCUGUGAUUCAAGAUGAUGAACACCGAAACUGUGAACUUUGAAAUUCUGUCUCCCUUUAAAAUUUCUGUAUGCAACUUUGUUUCUGGCAUCAUCAUUGUACUUUGUGUUCAUGUAGCAAUUUGAGUAUGGGCUAUAGCUUAUGUUAAAAAUGUGGCUCAUUCCCAUUUAUGUGUUGACCGAGCUCUAGCUUCAGAGGGGAAAGUUUCAAAAAAAGCUGCAGGAGAGGUUUUAACACACGGAAGAGGUGAAUAUAUGUCGUCAGCAUUGUGGUAGCACCCUGCCAACACGCGGUGGGCGUGUUGCGUUAGGAAUCCAACCAGCUUUUGCAGAAAUUCUCGCACGUUUUCGAAAAAUUGUAGGUGCUCGUUCAACACAAGAUCAGCCGGAGACAUAGAAUUCGAUGGUAGAAGACGCUUUACAAGUAAUGAGAUUUUACCCCAUUUCUAGAAUUGGGGUGGUCAAAGAAUUUUAUCCUUUACUAUCUGCUUUGGUGGAAAGGUGGAGGCCGGAGGCUCACACCUUUGUAUUGUCGAUGGAUGAGGUUACCAUGACAUUGGAAGAUAUCGCUCAUAUAUUUGGCCUACCCAUUGAGGACAGGUUGUGAGCGGCUAUACAGAUAGCAAUGACAAAUUCCUGCAGAGUCAGAGCAUCGCAAUUUUCGGCCGCGAUCCCGUUGUAAGUAAUUCCUACAAAAUCUUAUAUAAAGGUGGCAUGUGUUUACCAUAUCAGAGACGCAGAGCCAUUAGACACUUUGAAGUCUAUUCAGAGAUACGUGAGAUGCCAGAUUUUCUGUUUGUUGGGUUCAACCCUAUUCGUGGAUAAGUCGAUGGCAAAUGCCCACGCAAAGUAUCACCGUUACUCCGCGAUUUUAAACUGUUCCACACUUACAGUUGGGGGUCAGUAUGUCUCGCGCAUCUUUAUAUGGCACUAUACCAUGCAUCACGAUAUGAUACUAAGGAGAUGGAUGACCCUCUUAAUCUUUUGUUUGUUUGCGCAUGGGAGCGAAUGCCAUGUAUUGUGCCCGUACUGAGACAGUACCUUCCAGCGACUGACGUACCAGUUGCUCGGAGGUGAAGUCAUUCCGCAUGAACCACAGCAUGAUUAUCGAAGACAACAAUGAUAUUUAGGCAGAAAAUAGACUACAUGGACGAGCCGUACGAAGGAUUGAUGAUACCCGACGAGCUACAUAGACACCUUGAGGUGAGUGACACUGUUGCUCCAUUAUUGUCAUUCGAGUGUGUCGAAUGGCACCCUACGAACUGAGUGAUGCAUCAGUUCGGGUAUGCACAACCCGCCUCAGAGGUAGAAAAAGUCAUUCCACCAGAAGAGCAUUGCAUCACUCUUUGCGGAAUGCAGCUUCAUGACUGGAGAGUUUUACAUGCGGGGUGAAAAACGGAAUGGGGCAUCCGUUGUAACACUCGGUUGCGGGAUCGGCACCCCUUUCGACUUGGGACUUUAGACCAUCGGCUGAGUACCGUGAUUGUCAGGAAUGAUCCUGUGAAAUCAUUUCCAUGGUGAAUGUGUGCUUACCGUUGUAUCUGCGUAUCUCCCAACAACCUUUUUCCAAAUCAAGCUGGCUCGGAUAAGCUAGUCGCACCCAUGCCUAUACGUCUUGCAUUUUGCAUAGAACGUCUAUGGUUCAGACUCAUAUAUAUUGUAAUCGACUCCUCUAGAGAUAAUGUAACUUCUAA